CGACCUCACAUCAGGCGAGACAACCCGCUGAAUUUAAGCAUAUCACUAAGCGGAGGAAAAGAAACCAACAGGGAUUCCCUUAGUAGCGGCGAGCGAAACGGGACCUAGCCCAGCACCGAAUCCCUCGUCCUUGCCGGCGAUCGGGAAAUGUGGUGUAUGGGAGGUAACGUUCCCGAGAGUUUUGCGGUGGUGCAAGUCCCCCUGACAGGGGCUUGACCCAGAGUGGGUGCCAGACCCGUCUCCGCCACUGCUCUCUCGGGAUGGAACCUCCCGUGAGUCGGGUUGCUUGAGAGUGCAGCCCUAAUUGGGUGGUAAACUCCAUCUAAGGCUAAAUACGUCCGAGAGACCGAUAGUUCACAAGUACCGUGAGUGAAAGUGGAAAAGAACUUUGAAGAGAGAGUUCAAGAGUACGUGAAACCGCUUAGAGUAAAACGGGUGGGCCCUCGAAGCUCGAGGGCGGUGGGAUUCAGUUUCGCUGUGACGUGGAGCGGUGUCAGCGUCUUGGUUUACGGGCUCUCCUUGUGGGGGCCCGUUCCGGCUGCCCGCGCGGUGCCGCGCACUCCGGAACGCAUUUUCCACCGUCGGUAGGACGCCGCGACGGGCACGGGUAACCCUUUCAAGAACGACUUUGAGUCCGGCCGCUGGAGGUGACCGGCGACGGCCCUUGUUUGGCUGUCGUGGGAGUUAUACCUGGCCGGUAAUCGAGUACGUCACCCUGCCCAGGCCUCAUGGGCUACUCCCUUCGGGGAGGCCCGAAACGAUGCCCUCCGGAAUGCGGAGCGGGAAACCCGGCUGGGUCAACGGGUCCCCUGCCUUACGCCAGGUAUUCGCCUGACGUUCGGUGUUGGGCUCGGAACCGGCGAGGCGGGUUCU
rnacentral:ncRNA from 1 species